rnacentral:rRNA from 1 species
ACACGACCGUACCGCAAACCGACACUGGUGCGCGAGAUGAGUAUUCUAAGGCGCUUGAGAGAACUCAGGAGAAGGAACUCGGCAAAUUGACACCGUAACUUCGGAAGAAGGUGUGCCUUUAGUAGGUGAAGGGAUUUACUCCUGGAGCCCAAUGAGGUUGCAAAAAAUCGGUGGCUGCGACUGUUUAAUAAAAACACAGCACUCUGCAAACACGAAAGUGGACGUAUAGGGUGUGACGCCUGCCCGGUGCUGGAAGAUUAAAUGAUGGGGUGCAAGCUCUUGAUUGAAGUCCCAGUAAACGGCGGCCGUAACAAUAACGGUCCUAAGGUAGCGAAAUUCCUUGUCGGGUAAGUUCCGACCUGCACGAAUGGCGUAACGAUGGCCACACUGUCUCCUCCUGAGACUCAGCGAAGUUGAAAUGUUUGUGAUGAUGCAAUCUCCCCGCGGAAAGACGGAAAGACCCCAUGAACCUUUACUGUAGCUUUGUAUUGGACUUUGAACAGAUCUGUGUAGGAUAGGUGGGAGGCUUUGAAGCAGGGUCGCUAGAUCUUGUGGAGCCAACGUUGAAAUACCACCCUGGUGUGUUUGAGGUUCUAACCUAGGCCCGUUAUCCGGGUCGGGGACAGUGCAUGGUAGGCAGUUUGACUGGGGCGGUCUCCUCCCAAAGCGUAACGGAGGAGUUCGAAGGUACGCUAGUUACGGUCGGACAUCGUGACGAUAGUGCAAUGGCAUAAGCGUGCUUAACUGCGAGACUGACAAGUCGAGCAGAUGCGAAAGCAGGACAUAGUGAUCCGGUGGUUCUGUAUGGAAGGGCCAUCGCUCAACGGAUAAAAGGUACUCUGGGGAUAACAGGCUGAUACCGCCCAAGAGUUCAUAUCGACGGCGGUGUUUGGCACCUCGAUGUCGGCUCAUCUCAUCCUGGGGCUGUAGCCGGUCCCAAGGGUAUGGCUGUUCGCCAUUUAAAGAGGUACGUGAGCUGGGUUUAAAACGUCGUGAGACAGUUUGGUCCCUAUCUUCCGUGGGCGCUGCAGAUUUGAGGAAGCCUGCUCCUAGUACGAGAGGACCGGAGUGGACACACCUCUGGUGUAUCGGUUGUCACGCCAGUGGCAUUGUCGAGUAGCUAAGUGUGGAAGAGAUAACCGCUGAAAGCAUCUAAGCGGGAAACUCGUUUCAAGAUGAGAUCUGCCGGGGCCUUGAGCCCCCUAAAGAGUCGUUCAAGACCAGGACGUUGAUAGGUCAGGUGUGGAAGCGCAGUAAUGCGUUAAGCUAACUGAUACUAAUUGCUCGUGCGGCUUGACGA